rnacentral:lncRNA from 1 species
CCUAAUUUUCUCCUCUUCCUCUUUUCUUACCCACGACAACAGCCAACGGGUUGUUGCCGCUUCACCCUCCAUUCACGGUGAGAAUCGCCACCCACGUACGCCCAUUUCAUCUCACGACAAUCGGCGACAAUCGCCGCCGCCUUCUCCUAUCCUCUGGUCGGACAGCAACAGCCCCACGGCCGCUGCUGCCGCUCUCGACCACCUCCAUCUCCCUCGCCCUCUCAUCGGAACGGGCAGCAGUCACCGCUGCCGCCGCCGCCGCCGCCGAGGCCCCUCUGCCCUGCUACAUCCCCGACUCACGCCACACUCACAACAAGAAUCAAGCACAAAAAGUUUAGAGCUUUAACAAGAUUAAGAGGUUUCUUUCUUUUCUGCAAUGUAUUGUUUCAAUUAUGUCAUAUGUCUCCAAUCUAAAGUGUAAAGGUUUGAGGUCCUUAAAGCUUAUGUAUGUUCUUGUGUGGCUGUCUCUGUAUAUGCUGUGUGGGGUUAUGAUCUUUAGAGCGUCGAGUUAUAUAAAUAAUCUCAUAGGUGAGUGGAAUGGAGUCUGUUUCUAUUUGCUGUGUAUCUGCAAAGAAUUCAUGAAAAAUGUAUGUAGUCUGAUAUGGUUUGAGAUUGUGUAAAGAAUAAAUGAAAAAUGUAUAAAGAAAAUGUAGAACCUUUGUGAAUGAAUGAUACUGGUUUCGAUUGCUUCUAUUGAUGAAAUCGGCUUUGCUGUUUUCUUGAGAACUCAAAGAUUGUAUGGAUGGACAGGUUCAUGUUCUGAUGUUUGAUUAUAGGGUAAUAAUUGAAUUGGACGAG